UGGGGAAUAUUGGACAAUGGGGGAAACCCUGAUCCAGCGACGCCGCGUGUGUGAAGAAGGCCUGCGGGUUGUAAAGCACUUUCGGUGGGAACGAAAUAUGCCGGGCUAAUACCCCGGUAGGCUGACGUUACUCAAUGAAGAAGCACCGGCUAACUCUGUGCCAGCAGCCGCGGUAAUACAGAGGGUGCGAGCGUUAAUCGGAAUUACUGGGCGUAAAGCGCACGUAGGUGGCGACGUAAGUCGGGUGUGAAAGCCCCGGGCUCAACCUGGGAACCGCAUUCGAGACUGCGUUGCUGGAGUACGGAAGAGGAGGGCGGACUUCCCGGUGUAGCGGUGAAAUGCGUAGAUAUCGGGAGGAACAUCAGUGGCGAAGGCGGCUCUCUGGUCCGGUACUGACGCUGAGGUGCGAAAGCGUGGGGAGCAAACAGGAUUAGAUACCCUAGUAGUCCCUGAGCGGGCUGGCAAGGCGCAU
rnacentral:rRNA from 1 species